rnacentral:rRNA from 1 species
CCUACGGGUGGCAGCAGUGGGGAAUAUUGGGCAAUGGGCGCAAGCCUGACCCAGCAACGCCGCGUGAAGGAUGAAUGCUUUCGGGUUGUAAACUUCUUUUUACAGGGGAGUAUAGAGGACGGUACCUGUCGAAUAAGCCACGGCUAACGACGUGCCAGCAGCCGCGGGAAUACGGAGGUGGCAAGCGUUGUCCGGAUUUACUGGGUGUAAAGGGCGUGUAGGCGGGUUGACAAGUCAGAUGUGAAAUCCUGCGGCUUAACCGUAGAACUGCAUUUGAAACUGUUGAUCUUGAGUACUGGAGAGGCAGACGGAAUUCCUAGUGUAGCGGUGAAAUGCGUAGAUAUUAGGAGGAACACCAGUGGCGAAGGCGGCUUGCUGGACAGCAACUGACGGUGAGGCGCGAAAGCGUGGGGAGCAAACAGGAUUAGAUACCCCAGUAGUC